GCGGGUGUAGCUCAAUGGUAGAGUCCCGGCCUUCCAAGCCGGCCAUGUGGGUUCGAUUCCCAUCACCCGCUCCA
rnacentral:tRNA from 1 species